AGCUCACACUCGCAGGACGUGCUUCUGGUCCACUACUGGAGGAACUCUUUUCACAAACGAACCUCUUCUAUUCAAUCGAGAAACACAUUCAUAUCCUCGGACUUUAGAUUUUGGGGACGGAUUACUCCCGCUGCGCAAGAGAAAGACAACCUUGGCCGUUCAAACAAGCCGGGGAGGAUGAAGAUCUUAAGCCCCGAAGAUGGAAACAAGGGUGGGUGUUUGGAAGGCUGCUGGAUGACUGAACUCGGAGACCCGCUGGAGCUCAUCAUCAUCGCCACGGGCUCUCGUCUUACUCCUCUCUUCCCGUGGCCCCUACCUCUAGCCAGGGUCCAGCCAGUGGAGCCCAAGCGGGGAGCCAGUGAGUGGGCUGGGAAGGAUGGAGAAGCUCCCUGAAGGCCCAUCCGAAGCUGCUGGCAUGCAGGAGAAAUCAAUAUCCACCACGGUGCCGGCCCGACUCUGUGUGGGGUUUCCAGGGUUAGUCUUUGGCCGCGGGGGCUCGCAGACCUCCAAAGGACGUGCCCUUGUGUGGCCCUCAGCUGCCGCUCCUCAGACUGGACCACGGUCCUCCACCGGCUGUGUGUGGUUUGGCUGAAGGGGAUCGCUCCCCAAAUAAUACCGCGAAUGUUGAAUCGCAGCCAAGAGGGAUGAUUUUUUUUUUGUUUUUUUUUUCUCCCUCCUUUCACAAGAUUGACAUGUUCCUCACAUUCUCCCUGAAAAAAAAAACAAGUUUGGGAGCUUCCAACAUCACCUGGUUCUUUAAUCCAGAUAAGAGACUUCCAUUAUUUUCUCUGGGUUUGCUGUCACUAUGGUGAGCAGCAGACAUGUGUGGUCAGAGCAGAGACGCUGUGAACAUCCUCGACGUCCAUUGUUCGAUCCCAGCCUGGAAGAGAGGAGCAGAGAGCAGCCUAGUGGA